rnacentral:rRNA from 1 species
UGGGGAAUAUUGCACAAUGGGCGAAAGCCUGAUGCAGCAACGCCGCGUGCGGGAAGAAGGCCCUAGGGUUGUAAACCGCUUUCAGCAGGGAAGAAAAUGACGGUACCUGCAGAAGAGGGUGCGGCAACUACGUGCCAGCAGCCGCGGUGACACGUAGGCACCAAGCGUUGUCCGGAUUUAUUGGGCGUAAAGAGCUCGUAGGCGGUUCAGUAAGUCGGGUGUGAAAACUCUGGGCUCAACCCAGAGACGCCACCCGAUACUGCUGUGACUUGAGUACGGUAGGGGAGCGGGGAAUUCCUGGUGUAGCGGUGAAAUGCGCAGAUAUCAGGAGGAACACCAGUGGCGAAGGCGCCGCUCUGGGCCGAAACUGACGCUGAGGAGCGAAAGCGUGGGUAGCAAACAGGAUUAGAUACCCUGGUAGUCCACGCCGUAAACGUUGGGCACUAGGUGUGGGUCUCAACCAACGAGAUCCGCGCCGUCGCUAACGCAUUAGU